UCUCAACUAUAAAUGAGUGAGAUCGCCGGCUUUACCUGGUACACCGCGUGAACCGCGUGCGAAGCCGGCGACGGAACCCUAGGCGCUUAGUGGGCCAUUUUUGGUAAGCAGAACUGGCGCUGCGGGAUGAACCGAACGCCGAGUUAAGGCGCCGAAAUCGACGCGUAUUCAGAGACCAUGAAAGGCGUUGGUUGCUGAUGACAGCAGGACGGUGGCCAUGGAAGUCGGAAUCCGCUAAGGAGUGUGUAACAACUCACCUGCCGAAGCAACUAGCUCUGAAAAUGGAUGGCGCUGGAGCGUCGUGCCUAUACUCGGCCGUCGACGGCAUAGUGGGGCCAGUCGUCGCUCGCGGCGGCCGGUCCCGGCAAGCCUCGACGAGUAGGAUGGCGCGGCGGUGUGCGUCGAAGGGCAGGUCGCGAGACCGCCUGGAGCCGCCGUCGGUGCAGAUCUUGGUGGUAGUAGCAAAUACUCGAGAGGGGCCCUCGGGGGCUGCCGUGGAGAAGGGUUUCUUGUGAACAGCCGUUGUCCAAGAGUCAGUCGAUCCUAAGCCCGGGGAGAGAUCCUCGUACCACGGGCGAAGGCGUUUUCGAAUCGCCCUUGGGGCGAGAGGGAAUCCGGUUCGUAUUCCGGAACCCGACGCGGAACCGCUCCCUAGUGUUCGGGGCUCUUUUGUCUCGUCUGGGUAACCAGAAUGAACUCGAAGAAGCCGCCGGGGGAUCUGGGUAGAGUUCUCUUUUCUCUGUGAGCGUUGUACGUCCCUGGAAUCCUCUAGCCGGGCGAUAGGGACGCGAGCGCGAAGAGCACCGCUCGUUGCGGCCGGUGUCCGUGAUCCCCCACGGC
rnacentral:ncRNA from 1 species